CUUCGCUGACUGGGCCAAUUUGAGUAUUUUUCAGUAAAACAAUAAAUCCAAUCCAUUCUUCCCUCCGACCCGGCCAAAAUCUGCAUUUUAAAAAGAAAGAAAGCCUUCCAGCAAUAAUCAGACUCUUAUGUCCUUCUUUUCAUGCUCAAACGGGCAGAAAGUCCAAAGGGAAAAAAAUGCGUAGAAAAAUAAUUCCAAUGCCCCGUCCCACUCGUCUUUUUCAACAAUACAUACAACAGCGGUUCAACCCAAUCGCAUGUCGUCCCCUCUCCUUCCCCCUUUUUCUGACGUACGAGAUUGACAGGAAGAGCAGAAAAAGCCUACAGCAGUCGCGUCGCCGUCCUUGCAGCUACAAGAUCGAGCCACGUCAACCAAUGAGGACAAGAGAAUCGAUUCGAUCCCUCUAUGUGAUUGCCUCACCCAGAUUUCCAGGGAUUUUGCCAAAUUCUCGUACAAAGAGCAACUCUACUCAUCCUUUGGAUAAAAUUUGAAUUAGAGGUGAGUUUGGAAAAUUCCGACCCUACCCUUUUCCCUCCGAAAAUGGUCACCCUAAAUUUCCCUUUCUAUAUGUCUCUUAUGUUUCUUGGUGGUGAGGGGGGACAAAAAAAUUUCUCUGUACAAAGGGAGGAUAAUUUUUUGUGAUAGAUUUUUGUUUUUGGUUGUGGAUUCCAGCGACAAGUUUGUACCUAAAUAGGGAAGAUAGCGAAGAUAGGGAAUAUGUGUGCAUAUAUAUAUACAUACAUACAUAUCAAACACUUCAGGUAAAUGGAGAGGAUAGCGAAUUUUAGUUCAGUUCCUCUGUUCUAUUUCGCUGCCAACAUUCCUCACAAGGUUAGUGGGAAUCAAUAUUUCUUUCGAGUGUGUUGUUCUUUGAUAGUGUUUUUGAUCAUGUGGAAGUCGCUGUCCAUUUAGCUUGUCUAAUCCCAAGUUGCUGCACCGGAAAAGAUUUCCUUCAUAAAUCCCUUUUCCUCAUUUCAAGAGAGCCGUAAAAGCUCGAUUCCUUUCAUGCGAGUCAACCAGCCCCCUCUCUAAAUCGAUGAACAGGUCUCUCCCCGAACAUAGAAAAAUUGAAGCAGACCAAGAAGUUGAAGAUUUUGGGCCAAGUAGCCCAAUUUUAUUUUUUCUUAUCAUUAUUGUAUUGUAAGAUUUUUAGGAUAGGUUGAAAUGGGCUAAAGGAACAAAACAGAAUAGUGUCUGAACUCCGGUCCAGGCGAACGGAAACCGGAUUUGGACCCAA